CCUACGGGGGGCAGCAGUGAGGAAUAUUGGUCAAUGGACGAAAGUCUGAACCAGCCAUGCCGCGUGCAGGAAGACGGCUCUAUGAGUUGUAAACUGCUUUUGUACAAGGGUAAACCUGAAUACGUGUAUUCAGCUGAAAGUACUGUACGAAUAAGGAUCGGCUAACUCCGUGCCAGCAGCCGCGGUAAUACGGAGGAUCCAAGCGUUAUCCGGAUUUAUUGGGUUUAAAGGGUGCGUAGGCGGGCUGCCAAGUCAGCGGUAAAAUUGCGGGGCUCAACCCCGUCUAGCCGUUGAAACUGGCGGUC
rnacentral:rRNA from 1 species